UAGGCCUACUUUUUAUUUUCAGUUUACUUUCUUGGAAGAACAAGGCGGGCUUUUAGAAAAUUACAUCUCCACUUCUGUGAAAUCACGCCUCCUGCUGCACCGCCCCCUCUCCAGUUAAUGGCUUUGCUUUAAACUGUGAUGCUCACACUUGUUCAACUUGGGGGAUUUGAUCUUCUUGAUACUAGACCUACAGCAGGGCACUUGUCUGGAAACCAGGAAACCAAGAGCGCAAAUGUUUCCAGCCAGAUUUGGGAUGAAUAUCUAUGUUAAAAUACUUCCUCUUCAUAGGAUUAACCUUGGAGUUGACAAGAUGCCAUAAACUCGUGGCAAGGAGAAGAUGAUCUGCAACAUCCUGCUGCUCAUCAGCCUGACCUCCUGUGUCUGUGGAACUUUUGUAGUGAAUGUGACACAGACCUCCUAUCAGGCAGAGGAAAACAAGAACAUCACACUGGAGUGGACCUUCACAACCAAAACUGACAGGCCUCCAGUCCCUCUUUUCAUCUGCUGUCAGCUGUUAACUGAUCGUACGGAUUCAGUGAUGUAUCUUCUACAUGAAGGUGUUGAGGUCCCAGAGUCUCAGGAUGAACAGUUUGCAGGACGAGUCCAGUGUGACAAAGACGUCCUCAGAGAAGGACGAAUCAGACUUCAUGUGUCCAGACUCAGGACUGAGGACUCGGGCCUGUACCUGUGUGAAGUGCUCACAAAUUACGGCGGCAACUAUAAUGAAUGCAGACUCAUUGGUACUGGUAGGUUGACUCAAUAGACCUUAGAAGAACUUUCUCCUCAGAUUUAUUUGAACUUUGUUCAUGUUUUUGGAUGAAUAGAAACUGCUGAAGAUAUUCUGCUGCAGUAAUCAGUGCUGCACUGACUGGGCUGCUGAACUAGACUCUACAGACAUGUUGUAUGGACACAAACUAACAUGUCUGUUUGUCUGAGCCGUCCACCCAGUACCUGUCUCAUGAGUUUUUAGACUUUGUAACUUUAUAAUAUUUUGCAAUAUUUGUGGCUUAAAUGCAAUAAGAACUGUCUCAACUUAAAUGAAGUUCUAUCACCAAUAAUGAGCUUUAAAAGCAGCAUGAGUCAUGUUUGUUUAAUCUCUAAAUAAACUGAAGCGUAAAAUCACAGCAUUAUGUGGUGGAGGACUAUUUCUUUGCCGGCAGCAAGAUAAGUUCGCCGGCUGCUGGCUGUAGCUUCAUAUUUUGCAUGAGAGAGGUAUCAAUUUUGACAUCUGACUCUCGGCAAGAAAGCCAAUAAGUAAUGUAUUUUCCAAAAUUUCAAUUUGUUCCUUUAACAGGUAAAAUGACUCCAGGUACAAAAGUACUGUGGACUGGAGAACUUUAAGAACUUUAUGUAGGUUUUUAAAAAAGUCCUUCACAUGGCUUCAAACCACAAACUGCAUUGUUCCCACAUUCUGCACGUCCUAUUCUGACAUUUCUAAACUAAUAAAAACUUCAAGAAGCUUCUUAGAGAUAAAAUGGACAAUCCUGUAAAUAUGAAAACUCCAUAAUAAUAAUAAUCUGCUGGUUCUUUUGUUUCUCCGUCAGUAAAAUGUUUUUUCAUCACAUGAAUAACAGAAACAUUUGUUUUGAUCUCUACAGCAGCCAGUGAUCGGCCCACAGAUGAGAAACAAAAGCCAACAAACCAGGGAACCACCUGCUGCUGUAGAUUAGGUCUGACUGUAGUGCUGCUGUCCUGGUUUAUCUCCUGUAUCACUGCUGAACAUUUGUAGUCAUGCAUGUAACAACACUACAGCCAUGCUAACGCCUCUGUGACGCUGGAUUUAGGCACAGUGUGCUUUGAGCUAUAUGCUAAUGGUACCAAAGUGAUAAAAUUCAUCCUGAGAGGAUCAUGAACAUGUGACAAUCUAUCCAGUUAUGGAGACAUUUCACAAGAAACUGUAAAUGUGAUCCUCAUGGUGGCGCUCGAGGAAAAGUCAUGUCUCACCAAAGUCAGCAGGAUUCAUCCUCUGACCACCAUGAAUGUCUGUACCAAAGGUCAUGGUUAUCCAUCCAGUAGUUCCUGAGAUGUUUCAUUCUGGUUUCAUUUCUGUGAGGGUUCAAACUAACUUGGUCAUACGAAGUGUUGUCCGACACCGUCCGGAGACAAAAGUGUCCACGCUAAAAUCCUGCAGCCUCCUCCUGGCUGCUUCACACUGCCUACCUGAUCUCUCCCCAAUAUCUUUGUGUCUUUGUAGUCUGGAUUCAGUGAAACUACAAACAGAGGUAACAGCGCACAACUUCAGACUUCUUCACUCUGAAAGCAUUUGUGGUUUUAAACUUGGUUGUAAACAGACAGAAGUUGUUGAGUGAAGACAAAAAAGACAGUUUGAGAGAGAAGUUGCCUUCAGUACUUUAACACCUCCGUGUACCUGGCCGAUCACUGCAUGAAGUGGACGUGAUAAUCAGACUCUUGUUAGGACUCAAUAUUUCACCAUGGCCACAGGGAAAAUAGCUGUUUCUCAUUGGUUGGCAGGAGUUAAAAAUGUGUUACACCUCAGCGUGAUGACCACAUAUCAGGUAGUACUGAUGCUUUGUGCUGCAUCAUCAGUAAACUCUUUACGUUUUGUAGUCGAUGAUGAGUUUGUCACUGAGAAGAUAUUUAACCUUUUUUUCAGUUGUUGUUGGUUUAACUUUCAUUUAUUAAACCAACAACAACUAAAAAAAGGUUAAAUAUCUUAUAGCAGCAGACUGCACACAUUGACAAAACUACAGCUUCUUUACUGUGUUGUGCAAUUGAUACUGUAAUAUACACUCACCUAAAGGAUUAUUAGGAACACCAUACUAAUACUGUGUUUGACCCCCUUUCGCCUUCAGAACUGCCUUAAUUCUACGUGGCAUUGAUUCAACAAGGUG